GGCAGCAUAGUGUAGUGGUAAAGAGUGUAGACUGUAGAUCCAUAUAUCUUGAGUUCAAAGCUGGGUUUUGCCC